rnacentral:rRNA from 1 species
UACAGAGGGGGCAAGCGUUGUUCGGAAUUACUGGGCGUAAAGGGCGCGUAGGCGGCCUGUUAAGUCGAACGUGAAAUCCCCGGGCUCAACCCGGGAACUGCGUCCGAUACUGGCAGGCUUGAAUCCGGGAGAGGGAUGCGGAAUUCCAGGUGUAGCGGUGAAAUGCGUAGAGAUCAUGAGGAAGACCAGUGGCGAAGGCGGGUCUCUGGACAGUUCCUGACACUGAGGCGCGAAGGCCAGGGGAGCAAACGGG